GACGAACGCUGGCGGCGUGCUUAACACAUGCAAGUCGAACGAUGAACCACUUCGGUGGGAUUAGUGGCGAACGGGUGAGUAACACGUGGGCAAUCUGCCCUUCACUCUGGGACAAGGCCUGGAAACGGGGUCUAAUACCGGAUAACACUCCUGCUCUCAUGGGCAGGGGUUAAAAGCUCCGGCGGUGAAGGAUGAGCCCG
rnacentral:rRNA from 1 species